rnacentral:rRNA from 1 species
UACGAAGGGGGCUAGCGUUGUUCGGAAUUACUGGGCGUAAAGCGCGCGCAGGCGGUCUUCCAAGUCAGUGGUGAAAGCCCGGAGCUCAACUCCGGAACUGCCAUUGAAACUGUAAGACUUGAGGAUGAGAGAGGUGAGUGGAAUUCCCAGUGUAGCGGUGAAAUGCGUAGAUAUUGGGAGGAACACCAGUGGCGAAGGCGGCUCACUGGACCGGUACUGACGCUGAUGCGCGAAAGCAUGGGUAGCGAACAGG